rnacentral:misc_RNA from 1 species
CAACUCUUCCUUUCUUUUCCACACAGAAGUUUUAUUGUAGUUUUCACUCAUAUAAUCUGUUUUUUUAUCAUAUCUUCAAUUGAACUAGGUGUAGCAAUGGGUUUGGCAAUAUCAAGGCUCAUGAAGAUGCUCUUUGCAAGGAAAGAAAUGAGGAUUCUGAUGGUGGGUUUAGAUGCAGCUGGAAAAACAACCAUCCUCUACAAGUUGAAGCUUGGAGAGAUUGUUACUACCAUACCCACUAUUGGUAAUCUCCAAUUACUCGCUUCUUGUCUUGCGUAUCAAUGGCCUUUUAACACUUCUAUAUCAAACAAAAGUAUCAUUUCAUCAUAGUCUUUUUUUUUUUUUCCAAAGUUUGGAAAAUUUUCUACAGGUGAUGAGAGAAUUUUCAAGUUCAAAUGGCUAAACUGUUUUAUUGAUCUGUUUUACUGAUGUGUCAGGGUUCAAUGUCGAAACUGUUGAAUACAAAAACGUUAGCUUCACUGUCUGGGAUGUUGGAGGACAGGAUAAGGUACCAAGCAUGAUCAUGAGAUCAUUUGGCUAUAUAGGUCGUACACUACUGUGGACAAGCAAAAGUAUUUGCCAAAAAUAUGCACGUAAUCUCAUAUUUUCAAUUAAAACAUCAGGUUGCAUGCAAGUAUCAUGUUCUUUUUCAGUGUGUAAAGAAAAGCUUAUUCUUCCUAAUUCUCUGAUGCAUAGAUUCGACCAUUAUGGAGACAUUACUUUCAGAACACUCAGGGCCUCAUAUUUGUGGUGGAUAGUAAUGACAGGGAAAGGAUUUCAGAAGCCAGAGAUGAGCUUCAUCGGAUGCUGAGUGAGGUAUGUUACAUCUUUCUAAGAACUUGACCAACACUUUGGCAAUUUAUUGACUUAUAGAGAUUUUACAAAAAUCCCAGAAUGAUCAUCCUAAAGAACCAGAAAUUCAAUUAGCAAGUAUAUAUGGACAUGUUGGAGAAAUUUUCCUAUGAUGAAUCUACUCUAAUUAGUACCUAAACUCUAGGGAGGAAUCCUUUAUAUAAUCUCCCUUUCGCUAUUGCAGGACGAACUGCGCGAUGCAACAUUGCUUGUAUUUGCCAAUAAGCAAGAUCUUCCAAAUGCAAUG